AUGAGACAAAAUUGAGCCAAUUAUAUUGCGACAUGUUGCAGAAGGAUAUUGAUUUGCAAAUUGCAUUUCGACGAACCAGGUAUAGCCUUCCCCGUGUUACGUUUCAUUGACAGGAGUUGUUAUCUGCAAUAAUAAUGAAAAUACAUGUGACUUGUCUAUAUAGGAUGGGGACCACCGUAGCAAACACAUUCAAGUUUUUGUACAACUAAUCAUUUUUUGUUCCAUCUAAUUUGAAAAAGAGAUAGAUUCGUUUUUUAUUUCUGUUUUUAAUUAUUAAAAUAUUGUUUUACCAUCCUAUCUUUUACCUUUCCAAUUUUCGUUUAUAGUGUUUUUCCUUUGUGUUGGAAUAUGCUUUUUACCUCUAGUUUUAUAUUAAAGAUAUAAAAUUAGUUAUAAGUGAAUUAUUUUAUUUAAAUGUUAAUUAUAAAUAAACUAUUUUAAUUAAAAAUUAAUUGUUUUAGUUUAAAUAUAUAAAUUCUAUUAAUAUUAUAAUUUUUUUUGUUGAUAACUACAAAAGUUACUUUUUAUUUUUUUCUUUUAUGUUUAAUAUUAAUAUUUUAUAAAUAUUAGUUGUUUCUUAAAACACAUACCAUGCUUGAUAAUUAAUGUACACAGUACAUAUAUUUAUAUUUUCUAAAACUAGACAUGCAAAAAGAAUAAAAAGCAAUUUUUUUUCCUGUUUUACGUUAAAUUUAUGAGAAAAAAGUUGUAAUAUAUUUGUUAUUAGUGAGUGAAUAGGCAAGUGAUAGAAAUGAGAAAAAAAAGCUUAUAUCUACUAUAAGUUUUAAAUAUUUUAAUUCUAAAUAAUAGUGCUUUUAAAUAAGAGUAAAAAUAAAGUAAAAAUUUAUAAUUUAUUUUGUUCCGUUAACUUUACAAACAAUGCAAUGAAGAAUUUAUUCCAUUUCGUCGUGAAAUAGCCAAACAAUGGAAUGAAGCUUCAGUUACUCUCCUUCAUUCUCUUAUGUUAUGAAUAAUAUAUAUUAUGAUUUAAAUAUAUUUUUUAUUUUAGUAAUUGUGUUUCGUUUUGAUUUUAACGUCUGUAAUUUUUUUUUUAAUAUAUACUUUUGUAAAUUCCAACAAAUUUAAAAAAGUGUUUUAUAAAAUUUUUUAGUAAAAAAAUGGUGACAUGACUAAUUUUGGAUGAAGUGGCACGUAGUGAUAGUGACCGUGUAAUUGUAGUUGACUUAACAAUAUGUAAUAUUUAAAAUUUAUUUUAUUAACUAAUUUCAUCAUUGAGUUAAAAACUUAAAACUAAUUAACUAAUUAAUAAACCAAUUAAAUAAUAAAAACUCAAUAAUUUUCAUCUUCAACCUCAAUUUUUUUUAAUAAAAGCUCAACAAUGUUCAUCUUCAAAUUAUAAAUUCUCAAAUCUAAAUUCAAACCCUAAAAAUUCUAAUCUCUCAUUUUUUUUUUGCACUACAGGUACUAAAUAAAAAAUAAAAAAAAUUACAAGUACUAAAAUAAAGACGAAAGAUAUUUACAAGGACCAAAAAUAUAUUUAAACUUAUGUUUAUUGAUGUGUGUGUUUAAUAUGGACUUCAUAAAAAAGAUCUAGGGGUGAACACUUACUAUUUUAUUUAGUAAGAAAUGAAUUUUAUAAUAAUAAAAAAUGAAGAACAAAUAUAAUACUUUAUUUAAAUUUAUUAAAAACAACGAAGUCCACCAUUGGAUCAAGUUGGUUUGAAGAACUAUGACUCUUACUUGUUUUGAUGAUAACAACAUUAUUUUGUGGGAACAAUUUAAAAUACUAAUGUUCUGUUUUAGUGUGUAGUUUUCAAAACAAAUUAUUCCUUAUGAGUUCAGGCUACAUCCUUUGAUUUUUUAUCUGAGUUAAAUGAACACCAAGACUCCAUUUUUUAUUCACGUAUUUUGAAUCUAGCGAACGCGCCUUUGGUGACUUUGCAAGUGAUUGUCUGCCUCUAAUAAUCACAACAAACAUAUGAUCUCUAUGCCUCUAGUUAUCACAACAAGCAUUUGAUUAUCUGACUCUGAUAAGUCAACACUCUGAAUAGUUAACACUAUGAUAAGUCAACACUUUGAAAAAUCAAUGAACUGAAGAAGACAAAGUUUUUGCGCAUUCUCUACUAAACACCCGUAAGGUCUAUGCGACAUACUCCAAUCACAAUAUCCUCCGCUCCUUUUGUAUACAUAUCUAGAUUCACAUAAUCAAUUACAAGGAUAUAUUUAACAAGGUUUAAUGGCGAAGCAAUCUAAAAAGAUUUGGUACGAAACUUCAUGAUACAUGUCGAUUUCCUGCAAUCAAGAUAACAACUAGAAAACUUAAAAAUUUCUAUAAAAGAACGUGCAACUUUCACUGAAAAGUACAAACGACUACGUACCACAAUAAGCACUAUACAACCAUCUCUGCACUUUUUCUCGUUAACUUUUAUCUUGUCUAAGUAUUGUGAAAUAUUUUAUGAGAGUACAACAUUUUAAACAUCCUCUUGUAAAAGUUAUUCAGAAAACCCUUUAACCGUUCUUUUUGUAGCCUAACCCAGUAGUGGUUGCAUCCCUCGAUAGCCUGAUUGUACUGAUUUAGAAGGUUAAAAAGACUUGAACACAAUCAGUUUGACUAGUAGGUGUUCAAUGGAAGUGUAAUUCAUCUGGUGGAUUAGUGGAUUAAGUUCUUCAGGUUGAAGGAACUAGACGAACUACCGUUUUUGUGGUGAACCAAAAAAAAUCGGUUGUGUCGCUUUGUUUUUAUUUGAUCUUUUGUUUCAUCAUUUUCUAAUAAAACUGUUUUAAAAUAGCACACAAUUCAAACUCCCUAUUUCUUGUGUUUUUCGUUCCUCAAAUUAUUAUCAAAUACAUAUAGUUUUUAACAUAAAAUAUGCGCAAAAAAAUAGCCAUUAAUUGUUUUAAUACACCUAAAAUGAAAUAAAAUAUUGUUGAAUAAAAACUAACAAUUACAUAAGCAUUGCAAAGUUCAUAGCAAUCAAAGCACAAUAGAAUUAUAAGAAAAUUAGUUAUACAUGUAUUUAACAAUCUGAACAUGUACUAAUACCUGAAGUAGAAAUGCCAAUCACAAAGAAAUGAGGUUUAAAUUGUGAUCCCUUUUUAAAAUCUUAAUUCCUGAAUCUAAUUCAAAUUAAUUCAAGAUCAAUCUUAGUUUCAAACAAAAAGUCCAUAAUGUUUUUGGUGAGUUAAAGAUAAAUAAAGCAUAUUAUUUCUAGGUGAUAUGUGUUCACUGAGUGAAAAAUAAAUAAGGAUAAGGAUAAGAAGAUCACAUAAUGAUGUAUUCUUGUUCACCCUAUGAAGGCUACGUCCAAUUCUCACAAUUUGUGAGAUUUUCCACUAGUGUGCUUAGCACCAGAAUAUUUUUGCUUUCACACUAUCUUUCUUGAUCAGUUUCAGAAUUCACCUUUCAACCUUGAAAUAUUUUUACAGUCACCUUUCAGUCCAAAAAUAAUUUUUACAAUUUACCGUUUAAUAUCUAAAAAGCUUUUUACAACCUACUCAAACUAUCUUAAGAGAUAGACUUGGGUUAUAAAUGAUGUGUACGAUAAAAUAGUUUAGGAGUAAAAUCUAAUCAACACUUGUUUGAGAUUGAUUAUUAGUAAUAACUCAAUAAAGUGGUCUUUGAAUAUAAUAAGAGAGAGCUAAAGUUUUGCUUAAGAGAGAAUAGCUUUAAAACUCUUGCAUUUUUCUUCUCCUUGGUUGUUCCUUUUAUGGUUCAGAUUGAAGUCUAUUAAACACAUGUGCUAUUUGGUCCAAAAUGUUUCUCUAUAAAACCGAAACGUUCUUGGUUCUGUUUUUUUAUGGAAAACGUGGAUGAAUAAUUGAAUGGUUGUGGAAUGCCAGUAUUUUGAUUCAGAAGCAUGCAUAUCAUUUUGCAAAAAGGAUGCAACAAUAGUGUGCUCAUGUCCUUGUUAUCCUUGCUCACAACUCGUCAAUCUGGAGAUCAAUCUAAUCAUUGAUCUGAAGACUAUUUUGAGCAUAAAAUCAUGGGAACCAAACAGUGUAUCAAAAUGUUCAUUUAAGAAAAUUCUGCAAACAUACACUUAAACAAGAGAAUAUGCAAUUGAAAUGGAAAUAGUCAUUAUAUAUUAAAACAUAAAUAACAAUCAGUCAUUGAAGUCAUUACAUAAGAAAUUAAAAUUUCCUUAAGACCGAUGAUACAAGCACAUGGAGACAUACUUUACGUUUUUCCUUAACCUACACCAUUCGUCUAGAAAACAAGUGAGGUCUCUUAAAAUUUGAAAAUCCUCAUUUUCGUUAAAUAACCUCUUAAAAUCUAAGAGUAGGAGUCAAAGUAGAACCUACUCCAAACAAAUACUGCCUAAUCCAACUUAAUUUUCCAAAAACAGUAAGUCAAAGUCGUAAUUCUAAACACUUGGAACCCUAAACACAAUCUUAAAGUCCAAAUUCCAAAUGUAAAUUACCAAUGUUUGUGAAGUACAAAAAAGGAUUGAAGAUUACCAUGUGAAAAUAGAUCCUUUAAACCAAAGCUUGCUCGAUAAUACAUCAUUUGUUGAUGAAUCCCGAUUUUAGAGAUGAAGGUGAGAGAAAUCUAAAAUUGGUGAUGGAGAUGAUGAAUGAGAUGAGUGGGUGAAGAUUAGGGUAGGAGAAAUUUGAGAGAACUUAUUGAUUGAAGGAUGAUUGUGGAGGUUAGAUUUCUUAAGAAUGAGAGAAAAGUUGAUAAAAAAUGAGUGAAAUGGGACAAAAAUAAGAGUUAGUUGCGUGUUUUAAAAUGACAACUAAAUAACUGUGCACUUGUUACUAAGUUCUACUGACGCGAUUCCAAUCAAGCUAUGCAAGUGAUUCAAAUUACACAGUUCGUGAUUCAAAUCUCCAUGUUGUCCUUUAAAAAACUUGAGACAAGUGGUUGAUAAGUGCUCAAUUACCAUAUAUUUGAUAUAUUGUUAAACCAC
rnacentral:lncRNA from 1 species